GGACGACGUCCAGUCAUCNUGGCCCCUUACGUCCCNGGGCUACACACGUGCUNCAAUGGGGNCUACAAAGAGCAGCGAUACCGCGAGGNGGAGCAAAUCUCAAAAAUGCCUCCCAGUUCGGAUAGCACUCUGCAACUCGAGUGCUUGAAGUUGGAAUCGCUAGUAAUCGUAGAUCAGCAAUGCUACGGUGAAUACGUUCCCGGGUCUUGUACUCACCGCCCGUCACACCAUGGGAGUUGAACUCAUUCGAAGCGGGGAUGCUAAAGUAGCUACCCUCCACAGUGGAUUCAGCGACUGGGGUGAAGUCGUAACAAGGUAACCGUAGGAGAACCUGCGGUUGGAUCACCUCCUUUCAGAGAAGAGAGAAGUUAUUCGUUUAACUUCUCCAAAGCUAACAAAGUUAGCAAACAAUUGGGUAAAUAUCCAUAAUAUUAUGUUCGGUUUAUAAAGAUUAUAAGAGAUAAUAAUGGGCCUAUAGCUCAGCUGGCUAGAGCGCUCGACUGAUAAUCGUGAGGUCCCAGGUUCAAGUCCUGGUAGGCCCACCAUUAUAAUCUUUACUUUUAAUCUUAAUAUAUGAAUGGGGAUAUAGCUCAGCUGGGAGAGCGCCUGCCUUGCACGCAGGAGGUCAGCGGUUCGAUCCCGCUUAUCUCCACCAUUUAUUUUAAAAAUCAAAUAUAAGUUCAAAUGUUAAAAGAGUUGAAUUUAUAUUUGGUUUUUAUAACCAAAAUGAUAUUUAAAAAUUUAAUGUUAAAGUCUUUAAUUUUUUCGUUUAAAUCAAUAUCUUUCGUAUGAAGAUGAUUUAAAAAAACAAAAAAAUUUCAUAUCUAAACAACUAGAAAUAGUAUAGAUAGACACAACUGUUUUAUUAAAUGUAUAUUUAAUAAGAUAGUAGCCAAGGAAUAAUUAUUCAAAAANGCGGUUAAUCGAAAGAUUAACUUUUUAAUAAGCNNUUAAGGGNUAAUGGUGGAUGCCUUGGC
rnacentral:sRNA from 1 species